UGGGGAAUUUUGCGCAAUGGGGGAAACCCUGACGCAGCAACGCCGCGUGGAGGAUGAAAUCCCUUGGGAUGUAAACUCCUUUCGAUCGGGACGAUUAUGACGGUACCGGAAGAAGAAGCCCCGGCUAACUUCGUGCCAGCAGCCGCGGUAAUACGAGGGGGGCAAGCGUUGUUCGGAAUUAUUGGGCGUAAAGGGUGCGUAGGCGGUUUGAUAAGUCAUCUGUGAAAUCUCUGGGGGCUCAACCCAGAGUCUGCAGGCGAAACUGUCGGGCUUGAGAGUGGGAGAGGUGAGUGGGAAUUUCCGGUGUAGCGGUGAAAUGCGUAGAUAUCGGAAGGAACACCUGUGGCGAAAGCGGCUCACUGGACCAUUUCUGACGCUGAUGCACGAAAGCUAGGGGAGCAAACAGGAUUAGAUACCCUGGUAGUCCUAGCCCUAAACGAUGAUUGCUUGAUGUGGUGGGUACCCAAUCCUGCCGUGUCGAAGCUAACGCGAUAAGCAAUCCGCCUGGGGAGUACGGUCGC
rnacentral:rRNA from 1 species